UACGGGGGGGGCAAGCGUUGUUCGGAAUUACUGGGCGUAAAGGGUUCGUAGGUGGCCUACUAAGUCAUACGUGAAAUCCCUCAGCUUAACUGGGGAACUGCGUCUGAGACUGGAAGGCUUGAGUGCAGGAGAGGAACGCGGAAUUCCAGGUGUAGCGGUGAAAUGCGCAGAUAUCGGGAAGAACACCCGUGGCGAAGGCGGCUCUCUGGGACGGUACUGACGCUGAGACGCGAAAGCGUGGGGAGCGAACAGG
rnacentral:rRNA from 1 species